rnacentral:tRNA from 1 species
GGCGCGUUCGUCUAGUGGUUAGGACAUCUCCCUCUCACGGAGAAGAUCACGGGUUCGAGUCCCGUACGCGCUA